CUACGGGUGGCUGCAGUGAGGAAUAUUGCGCAAUGGAGGAAACUCUGGCGCAGCGACGCCGCGUGGAUGAUGAAGGCUUUCGAGUCGUAAAAUCCUGUCAGAUGGGAAGAAAUGUUUAUAUGCUAAUACCAUAUAGAUUUGACGGUACCAUCAGAGGAAGCACCGGCUAACUCCGUGCCAGCAGCCGCGGUAAUACGGAGGGUGCAAGCGUUGUUCGGAAUUACUGGGCGUAAAGCGCGCGUAGGCGGUCUGUUAAGUCAGAUGUGAAAGCCCAGGGCUUAACCCUGGACGUGCAUUUGAUACUGGCAGACUUGAGUAUCGGAGGGGGUGGUGGAAUUCCCGGUGUAGAGGUGAAAUUCGUAGAUAUCGGGAGGAAUACCGGUGGCGAAGGCGACCACCUGGCCGAAUACUGACGCUGAGGUGCGAAAGCGUGGGGAGCAAACAGGAUUAGAUACCCGAGUAGUC
rnacentral:rRNA from 1 species